ensembl:lncRNA
CUCUCUGACGUCUGUGUAGACGUCUCUGCCAACUUAAAGGAGGGGGGACCCACAACUCCAUCCUUUCAUUCUCAAUGUUUUGGUGUCAAGACAAUAUUCGGGGGAAUAAAAGGCCCUGCUGUCUACCUACACAUUCCAUCGCGGAGCCUGGCCCGGUGGGCCCCCGGUCCGCCCACCCUCCUGGCCACUCUGGGAAGCUGCACAGCCCUUGGAGCCCUGAGGGGCAGGUGCCCCCAGCAGGUCGACGUCUUGAAGAAACAGGAGCGUUUCCUGGUCGCCCGCCUUGGUCCUCCUGCUGCACCUGCAGCGUGGGUGCUAUGUGCCCGCAUCCCGGGCCAGCGACCACAGACCACCCCCCAGUGGCAAGGAGGGCGAGACCCUGCCGGGGACAUGAGGACAUUUCUGGGUCCGACUGUCCAUGGAGAGCGGUCGGGAGGGAGCUGAAUAUUCACCAGGACGGAACUAACAGCAUGACAGGGAUUGAGAGCCUGUUGGCACAAAAUGGACAGAGUUGUUCAAAGAACAGUUGUCAUCAAACACCUGGACCGCUCUCCAGUGUGUGACCUCUCAGGUGGCCGCAGAGCACGAGGGGGACGUGAGGACUGAGAGGGUGUGAUGAUGGAGAGACGGACGCCGGUGCUCCCAGAGGACCUUCAGGGGACAGGCAGCACAGCCAGCGUCUCGCCAGCCCUUCAGCCGCGUUUCUCUUCCUCCCUCGACUCUCCACGGCGCCCGUGUUCCCUCCUCCUGCCACCUAGGCCAGCGCCUGCAGGUGGAGGGCCGGUCUUACCCCUGGCUAUCAGACAACUGGGCUCUGGCGGAAGCCCGUCUCCCCUGCUAAAAUCCAGAAGAACUGGAGACAAUGCCCUCCAUGCAGCUGAAACUUGCCGGCUUCCUUAUCAGCCUCUCAGCCCUGGAGCAGCUAGCCAGGGUUGACCCAUCAACGUAGGUCGAUUGGAGUUGGAUUACAAAUGGCACUUCUGGGAGAGGAGGUGGUGGACUCUGUAUCUGAAGGCACACCCUGCAGACAGGGAUGGACCCAGAAGCAAGCAUGCCUGCCACGCUCUCAGUCCUCAGGCAGGUAAGUCUGAACGCCCUUCUACUUCUUCUGAGAGAUGAUGGGCUUCUGUCAGGAGGAAGGUGGAGAAGGUUCUAGGGAACGCUUGCUCCAUCAAGGCGGUCGUGUGUUCCUGGUGGACUCAGGGCAGGGGGAC